rnacentral:misc_RNA from 1 species
GAGUUCGCGGGAGAGUAAGUUAUUGCCAGGGUUUUUAUUUUGUACUUUAAACCUUAAAUUUAUUUUUUAUAUUUUUUUAAUGUUCAUGUUUUUGAGUGUUUUAUUUAAAUAAUGUAAAAAAUAAAAUAGAUAUUGACAUGGAUUGAACAAAAGAUAUAUAAUAUUUAUGUUGCAUAAACAAAUUGGCAAAAUAGAGAUGGAAGAUAAAAAUAUGGUCAAAGUAAUAAGAGUCUAUGGUGAAUGCC